UUUUUAUGGAGAGUUUGAUCCUGGCUCAGGAUGAACGCUGGCGGCGUGCCUAAUACAUGCAAGUCGAGCGAACAGACGAGGAGCUUGCUCCUCUAACGUUAGCGGCGGACGGGUGAGUAACACGUGGAUAACCUACCUAUAAGACUGGGAUAACUUCGGGAAACCGGAGCUAAUACCGGAUAAUAUAUUGAACCGCAUGGUUCAAUAGUGAAAGACGGUUUUGCUGUCACUUAUAGAUGGAUCCGCGCCGCAUUAGCUAGUUGGUAAGGUAACGGCUUACCAAGGCAACGAUGCGUAGCCGACCUGAGAGGGUGAUCGGCCACACUGGAACUGAGACACGGUCCAGACUCCUACGGGAGGCAGCAGUAGGGAAUCUUCCGCAAUGGGCGAAAGCCUGACGGAGCAACGCCGCGUGAGUGAUGAAGGUCUUCGGAUCGUAAAACUCUGUUAUUAGGGAAGAAUAAAUGUGUAAGUAACUAUGCACGUCUUGACGGUACCUAAUCAGAAAGCCACGGCUAACUACGUGCCAGCAGCCGACGG
rnacentral:rRNA from 1 species